AACGAACGCUGGCGGCAUGCCUAACACAUGCAAGUCGAACGAGACCUUCGGGUCUGGUGGCGCACGGGUGCGUAAAGCGUGGGAACCUGCCCUUAGAAUCUGAAUAACUCCCCGAAAUGGGUGCUAGUACCGGAUAAUGUCUUCGGACCAAAGAUUUAUCGGCUUGGGAUGGGCCCGCGUUGGUUUAGCUAGUUGGUAUGGUAAAAGCCUACCAAGGCGACGAUGCAUAGCUGGUCUGAGCGGCUGAUCAGCCACACUGGGACUGAGACACGGCCCAGACUCCUACGGGAGGCAGCAGUGGGGAAUAUUAGACAAUGGACGAAAGCCUGAUCCAGCAAUGCCGCGGGAGUGAUGCAGGCCUUAGGGUUGUAAAGCUCUUUUACCCGGGAUGAUAAUGACAGUACCGGGAGAAUAAGCUCCGGCUAACUCCGUG
rnacentral:rRNA from 1 species